GCAUCGGUGGUUUAGUGGUAAAAUUAGCCGUUGCCAUCAAGAGAUUCCUUCUUCUUCAACUCCCCAAAACGAAUUGAAGUCAUCUGGUUUCUCGCAAGGUUCGGCUAGCCCCGGGUUCGAUUCCCGGCCGAUGCA